GUGGGGAAUAUUCCGCAAUGGACGAAAGUCUGACGCAGCAACGCCGCGUGAGUGAUGAAGGUUUUCGGACUGUAAAGCUCUGUUGUUUAGGACGAAAGUGCCUGUUGCAAAUAGUUACAGGUAUUGACGGUACUGAACGAGGAAGCCACGGCUAACUACGUGCCAGCAGCCGCGGUAAUACGUAGGUGGCAAGCGUUGUCCGGAAUUAUUGGGCGUAAAGAGCAUGUAGGCGGGAAUCUAAGUCUGUUGUGAAAAUGCGGGGCUCAACCCCGUAUUGCGAUGGAAACUGGGUUUCUUGAGUGCAGGAGAGGAAAGGGGAAUUCCCAGUGUAGCGGUGAAAUGCGUAGAUAUUGGGAGGAACACCAGUGGCGAAGGCGCCUUUCUGGACUGUGUCUGACGCUGAGAUGCGAAAGCCAGGGUAGCGAACGGGAUUAGAAACCCGUGUAGUCC
rnacentral:rRNA from 1 species